rnacentral:misc_RNA from 1 species
GAUGAAGAACGUAGCGAAAUGCGAUAAGUAAUGCGAAUUGCAGAAUCCGUGAGUCAUCGAAUCUUUGAACGCACAUUGCGCCCUUUGGUAUUCCGAAGGGCAUGCCUGUUCGAGCGUCAUUAUCACCCCUCAAGCCCCGGCUUGGUGUUGGGCUCUCGGUGGUCGUCUCCGACCACCCGUCUCAAAGAUAGUGACGGCGUCCCAGAGGGAAUCGGUGCGAGGAGCUUUCACGAGCAUGUACGCGGGACGACUCUGCGGGCGACGGUCUUAUUUACUUUAUAUACAAGUGUUGACCUCGGAUCAGGUAGGAAUACCCGCUGAACUUAAGCAUAUCAAUAAGCGGAGGA